GAUGAACGCUGGCGGCGUGCCUAAUACAUGCAAGUCGAGCGAACAGAUGAGGAGCUUGCUCCUCUGACGUUAGCGGCGGACGGGUGAGUAACACGUGGAUAACCUACCUAUAAGACUGGGAUAACUUCGGGAAACCGGAGCUAAUACCGGAUAAUAUAUUGAACCGCAUGGUUCAAUAGUGAAAGACGGUUUUGCUGUCACUUAUAGAUGGAUCCGCGCCGCAUUAGCUAGUUGGUAAGGUAACGGCUUACCAAGGCAACGAUGCGUAUCCGCCCUGAGAGGGGGAUCGGCCACACUGGAACUGAGACACGGUCCAGACUCCUACGGUAGGCAGCAGUAGGGAAUCUUCCGCAAUGGGCGGAAGCUUGACGGAGCAACGCCGCAUGAGUGAUGAAGGUCUUCGGAUCGUAAAACUCUGGUAUAAGGGAAGAAAAAAAGUGUAAGUAACGAUGCACGUCUUGACGGUACCUAAGGAGAAAGCCACGGCUGACUACGUG
rnacentral:rRNA from 1 species